rnacentral:rRNA from 1 species
CCUACGGGUGGCUGCAGUGGGGAAUAUUGGACAAUGGGGGCAACCCUGAUCCAGCCAUGCCGCGUGUGUGAAGAAGGCCCUCGGGUUGUAAAGCACUUUCAGUGAGGAAGAACGCCUGGUGGUUAAUACCCAUCAGGAAAGACAUCACUCACAGAAGAAGCACCGGCUAACUCCGUGCCAGCAGCCGCGGUAAUACGGAGGGUGCGAGCGUUAAUCGGAAUUACUGGGCGUAAAGCGCGCGUAGGUGGCUUGAUAAGCCGGUUGUGAAAGCCCCGGGCUCAACCUGGGAACGGCAUCCGGAACUGUCAAGCUAGAGUGCAGGAGAGGAAGGUAGAAUUCCCGGUGUAGCGGUGAAAUGCGUAGAGAUCGGGAGGAAUACCAGUGGCGAAGGCGGCCUUCUGGACUGACACUGACACUGAGGUGCAAAAGCGUGGGUAGCAAACAGGAUUAGAUACCCGAGUAGUC